ACGUUAGCGGCGGACGGGUGAGUAACACGUGGGUAACCUACCUAUAAGACUGGGAUAACUUCGGGAAACCGGAGCUAAUACCGGAUAAUAUUUCGAACCGCAUGGUUCGAUAGUGAAAGAUGGUUUUGCUAUCACUUAUAGAUGACCCGCGCCGUAUUAGCUAGUUGGUAAGGUAACGGCUUACCAAGGCGACGAUACGUAGCCGACCUGAGAGGGUGAUCGGCCACACUGGAACUGAGACACGGUCCAG
rnacentral:rRNA from 1 species